rnacentral:rRNA from 1 species
GGACCCGCACAAGCGGUGGAGUAUGUGGCUUAAUUCGAUGCAACGCGAAGAACCUUACCUAGGCUUGACAUGCUUGUCGUACUCUCCCGAAAAGGAGAGGUCACUUCGGGUGGACAAUGCACAGGUGCUGCAUGGCCGUCGUCAGCUCGUGUCGUGAGAUGUUUGGUUAAGUCCAGCAACGAGCGCAACCCCUGUGAACUGUUGCCAGCGCGUAAAGGCGGGGACUCUGUUCAGACUGCCCAGAUCAACUGGGAGGAAGGUGGGGACGACGUCAGGUCAGUAUGGCCCUUACGCCUAGGGCUGCACACGUACUACAAUGCCCAGCACAAUGAGAACCGAGACCGCAAGGUGGAGGAAAUCUGCAAAACUGGGCCCAGUUCGGAUUGGAGGCUGCAACUCGCCUCCAUGAAGUCGGAAUCGCUAGUAAUGCCGUAUC